rnacentral:rRNA from 1 species
GUGCUUAACACAUGCAAGUCGAACGAGAAAGGGUUCUUCGGAACCUGAGUAAAGUGGCGCACGGGUGAGUAACGCGUGGAUAAUCUACCCCCGAAUCUGGGAUAACAGUUCGAAAGGGCUGCUAAUACCGGAUGACAUCGGAAUCACUUUGGCGAUUUUGAUCAAAGAGGGCCUCUUCUUGAAAGCUCUUGUUUGGGGAUGAGUCCGCGUCCCAUUAGCUUGUUGGUGGGGUAACGGCCUACCAAGGCUGCGAUGGGUAGCUGGUCUGAGAGGAUGAUCAGCCACACUGGGACUGACACACGGCCCAGACUCCUACGGGAGGCAGCAGUGAGGAAUUUUGCGCAAUGGGGGAAACCCUGACGCAGCAACGCCGCGUGAGUGAUGAAGGCUUUCGGGUCGUAAAGCUCUGUCAAGUGGGAAGAAACCUUGCACGAUUAAGAGUCGUGCGAAUUGACGGUACCACUGAAGGAAGCACCGGCUAACUCCGUGCCAGCAGCCGCGGUAAUACGGAGGGUGCAAGCGUUAUUCGGAAUUA